rnacentral:rRNA from 1 species
GAGUGCCCCAAGCGUUAUCCGGAUUUACUGGGGCGUAAAGGGGUCCGCAGGCGGUUUGUCACAUCUCCUGGUUAAAUCUAUCGGCUCAACCGGGUAGGGCUGCGGGAGAGAUGGACAGACUAGAGGAUGGGAGAGGUAAGCGGAAUUGCUGGUGUAGGGGUUAAAUCCGUUAAUAUCAGCAGGAACACCAAAUGCGAAGGCAGCUUACUGGAACAUUCCUGACGCUCAUGGACGAAAGCGUGGGUAGCGAAUAGGAUUAGAUACCCUAGUAGUCCACGCCGUAAACGCUGGAUGCUAAGCAUUGGCAGUUUCGACCCUGCCAGUGCUGUUUAAAUAAGGUAACCCGCUAAGCAUCCCGCCUGGGGAGUACGAGCGCAAGCUUA